GAUGAACGCUAGCGACAGGCUUAACACAUGCAAGUCGAGGGGCAUCACGGGUAGCAAUAUCUGGUGGCGACCGGCGAACGGGUGAGUAACGCGUAUGCAACCUACUUGUAAACGGGAGACAACCUGGAGAAAUUUGGGCUAAACUUCCAUGAGGCAUUAUUACUGCAUGGUAAUGAUGUCAAACGUAAGGUUUACAAAUGGGCAUGCGUAUGAUUAGCUAGUUGGUAGGGUAAUAGCCUACCAAGGCGACGAUCAUUAGGGGUUCUGAGAGGAAGGUCCCCCACAUUGGAACUGAGAUACGGUCCAAACUCCUACGGGAGGCAGCAGUGAGGAAUCUUGCGCAAGUGGGGGAAACCCUGACGCAGCAACGCCGCGUGAGUGAGGAAGGCCUUCGGGUCGUAAAGCUCUGUCAGAGUGGGAAAGAAAUGGAUGGGGGCUAAUAUCGCCCAUCCUUGACGGUACCAUCAGAGGAAGCACCGGCUAACUCCGUG
rnacentral:rRNA from 1 species